rnacentral:rRNA from 1 species
GUGCACGCUGGCGGUAGGCCUAACCCAUGCCCGUCGAACGGCAGCACCGUAAGAGCUUGCUCUUACGGGUGGCGAGUGGCGGACGGGUGAGGAAUACAUCGGAAUCUACUUUUUCGUGGGGGAUAACGUAGGGAAACUUACGCUAAUACCGCAUACGACCUACGGGUGAAAGCAGGGGAUCUUCGGACCUUGCGCGAUUGAAUGAGCCGAUGUCGGAUUAGCUAGUUGGCGGGGUAAAGGCCCACCAAGGCGACGAUCCGUAGCUGGUCUGAGAGGAUGAUCAGCCACACUGGAACUGAGACACGGUCCAGACUCCUACGGGAGGCAGCAGUGGGGAAUAUUGGACAAUGGGCGCAAGCCUGAUCCAGCCAUACCGCGUGGGUGAAGAAGGCCUUCGGGUUGUAAAGCCCUUUUGUUGGGAAAGAAAAGCAGCAGGUUAAUACCCCGCUGUUCUGACGGUACCCAAAGAAUAAGCACCGGCUAACUUCGUG